GACGAACGCUGGCGGCGUGCUUAACACAUGCAAGUCGAACGGAAAGGCCCUGCUUUUGUGGGGUGCUCGAGUGGCGAACGGGUGAGUAACACGUGAGUAACCUGCCCUUGACUUUGGGAUAACUUCAGGAAACUGGGGCUAAUACCGGAUAGGAGCUCCUGCUGCAUGGUGGGGGUUGGAAAGUUUCGGCGGUUGGGGAUGGACUCGCGGCUUAUCAGCUUGUUGGUGGGGUAGUGGCUUACCAAGGCUUUGACGGGUAGCCGGCCUGAGAGGGUGACCGGCCACAUUGGGACGGAGAUACGGCCCAGACUCCUACGGGAGGCAGCAGUGGAGAAUAUUGCACAAUGGGCGGAAGCCUGAUGCAGCAACGCCGCGUGCGGGAUGACGGCCUUCGGGUUGUAAACCGCUUUCGCCUGUGACGAAGCGUGAGUGACGGUAAUGGGUAAAGAAGCACCGGCUAACUACGUG
rnacentral:rRNA from 1 species